rnacentral:tRNA from 1 species
GCUGGGAUGGCCGAGUCGUUAAGGCGAGUGAUUUGAAUUUCAACUAUCACUUGGUGUUUCACCGCGUAGGUUCAAAUCCUGCUUCCAGCG